UUUACAGAAAAGACGAAAAAGUAAUAUAUAUGGAAUUAUGAGAGUAAUUUGCUGAAAUUAAAAUAAAAUAAAAUUUACUAAAAAUAUUUAAACAAGAAAAAGAAAAGGAAAUGAUGAAAAGAGAGCAGACUAAAACGAUGCUUCGUCUCACUUUCUUCCUUCCUUCCUCACCAUCCUUUGCAUUGUGGGUUAUAAAGAGCAAUAACUGAGAGCAGAACCUAACCUAAAAAUUAGAUCUGAAGAGAGGUCUGUAAUUCAGUGGAGGGUAUAGGCAUGGGUGUGUGGGAAAAAUCCAAUCUCUCAUCAUUUCUGACUUUUCCUACACCUCCCAUGCCUCUACUUCCCAUUGAUUCCUCCGGCGCCGUCAUUGAUUCCUUUUUCCGGCCAGAUCUGUCUCCCUCUCCUUCUCGAGAUUGAUGAAGAAAAAAACAUCAUCGUUCCUAUAUUAUAUGUAUGAAGAAUGUGGCAGUGUGUACUUAUUGUUUUAAAGGAUAGUUGUUGCCUGAGCCGCUUAAUCAGAUACAGUAUAAUGUUCUUAUUUGGGAUCGAAAUAUAUCUUGUACGGUGUUUGAUCUACUUUAUCUCGAAUUGGCCCUCAUUCGGGUCUUGAUUUUUCUUUAUUUCGAACUGGCUCUUCGUCGGUUUUUUGGAAUCCUAUCUCCGAGUCCCUAUGUUAUUUGGUUACGAGAAAUUCUUAGGUUUGGAUUGUUUGAUUUUGUAGACAUUUACGGUUGUUCACUAAAUGUUGUUUCAUCUUUCAAUUUUGGCAAAAGAUAUGGAUAUGUUUUUAAACUUUGACGGACUAUAUUUUUUAGGAAAAUAAUCUUCCAUUGAUGUAAGGUCUUUUCUUGUAAGAUGUACGUUUUGACCUAAUUGUGCAGUUCUAGUGUUUUCCGCCUAAACUCGUAACUUGUUGCAUCUCGAUCCUUCAGCUUAUAAAAUCAGUAAAACUUUUUUUAAUGGAGAAACAAACUAAUCUAAAGCAGUUAUUGAAGAACUGGAUCAAGCUGUCCGGUUCAAUCGGUUGAAUCAGGAUCAAGCCAGCUUCCUAUCCACCUAACUCUUAGGAAUUGAAAAUUUAAUCCAAUCGACUUGGAUCGACAAAAUUGAAUGGCGAAUCAAUGAGCUUUAAAAAUCAGUUGAACUAACUGGUCUUUUGGUAUCGAACAUUAUUACCUUACUUUUUUUUUUUGUAUCUAGCGAUUUUGCUUUGAAUAUCUUGAUAUUGGACUAUAGAAAUUGGUAGACGAACAUACUAUCCAAGCUGGGCCCAAUUUAUUACUCCCUCCGUCACAAAUUGAUAGAUAGUUUAGAACAAAUAAGGGUGCUAAAAAAUUUAAAUUCUCUAGAUAAAAUGAAUUAUUACAUUAAAAAACAUCAUACUUGUCCUCAUUUAUUAUAAUGGUAAUUUUUAUCUUUUAGUGAUUUUUGUUGUCUUUUCAAGAUAUUUUCUAUAAUUAAUGAGGGUAUGUUUGACAAUUAUUGAGUAAGAUAAAUAUCUAGUUCCUGUAAUUUGGGAUAAAUAAAAUUGAAAUAGUGCAUAUCAAUUUGGGACGGAGGGAGUAUAUUUUUAUAUAUAAUUUAACAAGUUCAAUCUGGUUAAAGUAAGGAUCGGUGAUCCCAUACUAGUUCCGCCGCCAAUUUAAUUUAUAGAACAUUGGUCUGAAGGGUUGAUUCGAACCAAUUUCACAAUUAUAAGGUUCAAGUUGCACCAAAUUAAAUUAAGAAUGUAAAUAAUCUUGCAUAAAAAUUGAAAAGAGUAUUUGUACCUUUUA